rnacentral:rRNA from 1 species
UACGUAGGGUGCAAGCGUUGUCCGGAAUUAUUGGGCGUAAAGAGCUCGUAGGCGGUUUGUCGCGUCUGCUGUGAAAACUCGGGGCUUAACCCCGGGCCUGCAGUGGGUACGGGCAGACUAGAGUGCGGUAGGGGAGACUGGAAUUCCUGGUGUAGCGGUGAAAUGCGCAGAUAUCAGGAGGAACACCGGUGGCGAAGGCGGGUCUCUGGGACGGUACUGACGCUGAGGCGCGAAAGCGUGGGGAGCGAACAGG